AGAGUUUGAUUCUGGCUCAGAGCGAACGCUGGCGGCGUGUCUGAUUCAUGCAAGUCGAGCGGAAAGGCCCUUCGGGGCACUCGAGCGGCGGAAGGCCGAGUAAUACAUGGGUAACGUACCCUGGUGAUCGGGAUAACUCAGGGAAACUUGGGCUAAUACCGGAUACGCUCGUCCCGUGCAUGCGGGAUGAGGAAAGGCGGGGACCCUUCGGGGCCUGUCACACCAGGAUCGGCCCGUGGCCUAUUAGCUAGUUGGCGGGGUAACGGCCCACCAAGGCAAAGAUGGGUAGCCGACCUGAGAGGGUGAUCGGCCGGACCGGGACUGAGACACUGCCCAGACUCCUACGGGAGGCAGCGGAGGAGAAUCAUCCGCAAUGGGCGAAAGCCUGACGGUGCGACGCCGCGUGGGGGAUGAAGGCCUUCGGGUUGUAAACCUCUGUUGAGAGUCAGGAAAACAUGGAGGGCGAAUACUCCUCUUUGUUGACCAGCUCUUGAGGAAGCUCCGGCUAACUCCGUGCCAGCAGCAGCGGUAAAACGGAGAGAGCGAGCGUUGCUCGGAAUCACUGGGCGUAAAGGGCGUGUAGGCGGAUGGUUAAGUCGGUCGUGAAAUCCCUCGGCUCAACCGGGGAAUUGCGUCCGAAACUAUCCAUCUUGAGUGUGGGAGGGGAGAGUGGAACUCCAGGUGGAGCGGUGAAAUGCGUAGAUAUCAGGAGGAACGCCGGUGGCGAAAGCGGCUCUCUGGACCACUACUGACGCUGAGGCGCGAAAGCCAGGGGAGCGAACGGGAUUAGAUACCCCGGUAGUCCUGGCCCUAAACGAUGGGCACUAGGUGGACGGGGCUCUGAUGCUUUGUCUGCCGUAGCUAACGUGUUAAGUGCCCCGCCUGGGGAGUACGGUCGCAAGGCUAAAACUCAAAGAAAUUGACGGGGGCUCGCACAAGCGGUGGAGGAUGUGGCUCAAUUCGAGGCAACGCGAAGAACCUUACCGGGGCUUGACAUGCACGUGGUACAACCCCGAAAGGGCGAGGACCCGGUUUUGCCGGGAGCGUGCACAGGUGUUGCAUGGCUGUCGUCAGCUCGUGUCGUGAGAUGUUGGGUUAAGUCCCGUAACGAGCGAAACCCUUAUCCCUAGUUGCCAGCGCGUCAUGGCGGGGACUCUAGGGAGACUGCCGGUGCCAAACCGGAGGAAGGUGGGGAUGACGUCAAGUCCUCAUGGCCCUUACGCCCCGGGCUGCACACGUCCUACAAUGGUCGGUACAAAGGGAAGCAAGACCGUGAGGUGGAGCCAAUCCCAAAAAGCCGGCCCCAGUUCGGAUCGCAGGCUGAAAUUCGCCUGCGUGAAGUCGGAAUCGCUAGUAAUCGCGUAUCAGCAUGACGCGGUGAAUAUGUUCCCGAGCCUUGUACACACCGCCCGUCACACCACGAAAGUCUGCUGUACCAGAAGUCGCUGGGCUAACCCCGCUUGCGGGGGAGCAGGCGCC
rnacentral:rRNA from 1 species